AGAGGGAGAAAUCUUUGGAACACAAGGUUUCACAAAGGUGAAUGGUGAAAUAUAUCUUGGCAUAUAUUUGAAGAAUAAAAUAGUAUUAAAAUAAUAAUUAAACGCACAUCCUGCUUUUCUCUGCAGUCAGUUGCAGGCAACUGUUAAAUCCUCCCCUGCACCUUCCCUUGCUUGUUUCGGGGUCUCAAGCUGCUUCAGCUUUGGGGUUAGGGGACGGCUUCUUUAUCGUUAACGGCGCCAUUACUCCCAUGGAAGGAAAAGAGAAAGGGGGGAGCGAACAGUCCCUCCUCCCCCCAGCAGGAAGCCUCCUCCUCCAGGGUAAUAUAAGGGCUGAGGGAUGCUCUGCCCGCCCCGCCCAAGAAUGUGCCUGGAACUUUCCGACCAAUGGCCUGGUUGCCUGGGCUCCCAACGGUCUUCGAAGUCUGCGGCAUCAUCAUGGCCGUCAUAAGCAGCAGCGUUGCUGUGGUAACGCAUUUCUGGCCUUCUGUUCUUGAGACCAUCCUGCUACCCGCGUCCAUGCUCCCAAUUGUCCAUGGUGUCUGCUAACAGUGAAAACUCUCUCCUUCCAACCCAGUCGUCCUCCUAAUCGGGCCUGCCCCCCACUCCAGCCAGGCUGUACCGCUCCAGGACCAAAGAUGCCCCACUUCUACCCUACACCCGUCCUCAUUCUGAUGCUGCAUUUUCUCUUCAUUCUCCUCCUCCAAUUCCUACCCUUCUUUCUCCUGCUUCCUCUCCUUUUAUUCCUUGUCUUCCUCCCUCUUCUGGUCCGAGACUCUGAGGAGGACGCUGAAGCAAAGUAGGAGAACUAGUCUGGAGCACCUUUAGGGGCGGUUGUUUCCCAAUGGAUGUUUCUAUAUGGGCAUUUAAAUGUCAUCAUUGUAACCUGCCAAUGGAGAUGAGAUGUUCUGUCACUGGGAAUAAAUUCAACUGAAUUAAGAUCAACUCAAGGGUUUUCAUUCAAAUGUUAAUGACAACAUUGUUUAUCACAUUGUUGUGUUUCAAAAUGUUCUUACAUUGGAGAAUGUGGUCAAUUUGGACACAUUGGUAAAAUUUUCAUAAGCUCUGUUGUUAGAAAAGCAAUCUAGAUGUUGUUUGAUUAAGAAAUGGACUGUAACAAUGUGCUUCAUGCUCUAAAGUACUCUAAUUUAAGAACUUAUACACUUGCACUUAUGCUUAUGAAUAAAGACAAAUUUUACCUUCA